rnacentral:rRNA from 1 species
CGGGAGUAAUGCUUGGGAAUCUAGCUUAUGGAGGGGGAUAACUACGGGAAACUGUAGCUAAUACCGCGUAGAAUCGAGAGAUGAAAGUGUGGGACCUUCGGGCCACAUGCCAUAGGAUGAGCCCAAGUGGGAUUAGGUAGUUGGUGAGGUAAAGGCUCACCAAGCCGACGAUCUCUAGCUGGCCUGAGAGGAUGACCAGCCACACUGGGACUGAGACACGGCCCAG